rnacentral:lncRNA from 1 species
UGUUUACAAAGGGCAGGGACGUAGUCAACGCGAGCUGAUGACACGCGCUUACUAGGAAUUCCUCGUUGAAGACCAACAAUUGCCAUGAUCUAUCCCCAUCACGAUGAAAUUUCAAAGAUUACCCGGGCCUGUCGGCCAAGGCUAUAAACUCGUUGAAUACAGAAGUGUAGCGCGCGUGCGGCCCAAAACAUCUAAGGGCAUCACAGACCUGUUAUUGCCUCAAACUUCCGCGGCCAAAAAGGUCGUAGUCCCUCUAAGAAGCUGGCCGCGAAGGGAUACCUCCGCAUAGCUAGUUAGCAGGCUGAGGUCUCGUUCGUUAACGGAAUUAACCAGACAAUACCUCCGCAUAGCUAGUUAGCAGGCUGAGGUCUCGUUCGUUAACGGAAUUAACAAGACAAAUCGCUCCACAAACUAAG